rnacentral:sRNA from 1 species
AAAAGAACUUUGGAGAGAGAGUCAAAUAGUGCGUGAAACCGUUGGGAGGGAAGCGAAUGAGGCCGGCUCGGUCCUCUGUGGGAACAGGCAGAUCGAUGAGCGCCCUCUGGCGAAGGGAUCCCCUUCGGGACCCGUCGCCGGUGGGACCGCUCGUCGCUCUCGACCGCACUCCCGCGUGGACCAGUCAGCGGCAGUUUCCGCUGCGCCGUGCGCCCUGCGGGGCAGUUGGCCGAGUCCUUCGGGUCUCGGUGCUGGCCCCUGGGGCGCGACGCGGCGGAGACUGAGGAGAGUGGCGGCCCUCGCCCGAGCAGCGCAAGCCACAGGGCCGGACGGCUGCGACGACUGCGUCGGACCGGUGGGGACUGCGUGCAGUGCCCGCUGAGCGAGACGGAGGCGUCGCGGUGCAGUCACGAUGUGCGCUGAGGUCGCUGGCGCCUAGCCGGUCCCAUCCGACCCGUCUUG